rnacentral:lncRNA from 1 species
UAACUUUUCUUUUGUGGUUGAUGAGGAAGACCUCAACAGAUGAGUUACAAUAAGGGACUAUUGGAUCAGAUCAGCUGGUACCCAGGGAACUUGAACGGACGAACUAGAUUCAUGAACAACCACCUUCAGUCGGUAAACCAUGAGGUUCAAGUGGCAUGGUCCUAUCCCUCAUCGUUCCAGGCUGCAUGUCUCAGAGAAUAAAAGGUGCCUAUGUGAUGAUCACGAUUCUCAAGAAUUGGAUUCUGGGUCUGCAGAGAGCUGGGCUUAAUAACAAGUGGAAAACAGGCCCCAAAGACAGCAUGUUCUCAGCAAGAUAUGAAUUAUUCUGGAGUCCAGAGGCCAACACAUCCCACAGCAUCCACCUUGGGUCUCUAUCCUCACCUCCUGGUCUGCAACCUUUUUUCUGGGGUCUGAUUACCAUCCUUCACAAAGACAGACUUUAGAUGUCCUCCUUAUCUGAAGUUCAAGCUACAGCAUGUGAGUACCCAUAAGAGACGGUUAAAGAAGGCCUAUAUUCCCUCCCAUAAACAUAAUCUGCUGAGAUAAAUUCAACCCAGAAUAAAACAAUCUUUUAUAUAGUAGAGCUGGAUCUU